CGUCUUGGUUAUUGAUGUUAGAUGCUUGCAUUUAACUGAUUUAACAUUGAGACGAGUGGCGUACUGGUGAGUAACACGUGGGUAACCUGCCCUUGAAGUAGGGGAUAACACUUGGAAACAGGUGCUAAUACCGUAUAACAACCAAAACCACCUGGUUUUGGUUUAAAAGAUGGCUUCGGCUAUCACUUUAGGAUGGACCCGCGGCGUAUUAGCUUGUUGGUAAGGUAACGGCCUACCAAGGCAAUGAUACGUAGCCGACCUGAGAGGGUAAUCGGCCACAUUGGGACUGAGACACGGCCCAAACUCCUACGGGAGGCAGCAGUAGGGAAUCUUCCACAAUGGACGAAAGUCUGAUGGAGCAACGCCGCGUGAGUGAUGAAGGGUUUCGGCUCGUAAAACUCUGUUGUUGGAGAAGAACAGGUGUGAGAGUAACUGUUCACAUCUUGACGGUAUCCAACCAGAAAGCCACGGCUAACUACGUGCCAGCAGCCGCGGUAAUACGUAGGUGGCAAGCGUUGUCCGGAUUUAUUGGGCGUAAAGCGAGCGCAGGCGGUUUCUUAGGUCUGAUGUGAAAGCCUUCGGCUUAACCGGAGAAGUGCAUCGGAAACCAGGAGACUUGAGUGCAGAAGAGGACAGUGGAACUCCAUGUGUAGCGGUGAAAUGCGUAGAUAUAUGGAAGAACACCAGUGGCGAAGGCGGCUGUCUGGUCUGUAACUGACGCUGAGGCUCGAAAGCAUGGGUAGCGAACAGGAUUAGAUACCCUGGUAGUCCAUGCCGUAAA
rnacentral:rRNA from 1 species